rnacentral:rRNA from 1 species
UACGGAGGAUGCAAGCGUUAUCCGGAAUGAUUGGGCGUAAAGCGUCCGCAGGUGGCUAUGUAAGUCUGCUGUUAAAGAGCAAAGCUUAACUUUGUAAAAGCAGUGGAAACUACAUAGCUAGAGUGCGUUCGGGGCAGAGGGAAUUCCUGGUGUAGCGGUGAAAUGCGUAGAGAUCAGGAAGAACACCGGUGGCGAAGGCGCUCUGCUAGGCCGCAACUGACACUGAGGGACGAAAGCCAGGGGAGCGAAUGGG